AACGAACGCUGGCGGCAGGCCUAACACAUGCAAGUCGAGCGCUCACCUUCGGGUGGGAGCGGCGCACGGGUGAGUAACACGUGUGAACCUACCUUGAAGUACGGAAUAACUGAGGGAAACUUCAGCUAAUACCGUAUACGCCCUACGGGGGAAAGAUUUAUCGCUUCAGGACGGGCCCGCGUUGGAUUAGCUAGUUGGUGAGGUAACGGCUCACCAAGGCAACGAUCCAUAGCUGAUCUGAGAGAAUGAUCAGCCACACUGGGACUGAGACACGGCCCAGACUCCUACGGGAGGCAGCAGUGGGGAAUAUUGGACAAUGGGCGCAAGCCUGAUCCAGCCAUGCCGCGUGAGUGAUGAAGGCCUUCGGGUUGUAAAGCUCUUUCAGAUGGGACGAUGAUGACGGUACCAUCAGAAGAAGCCCCGGAUACCUUCGUGCCAGCCGCCGCAGUAACAC
rnacentral:rRNA from 1 species